AUUGAAAAACGUGGUGAGUUAAGGCGACUUGCGGCCACGCAAAACAAGCAGCUAAACAGCUCGGUAGCGUUUCCCC
rnacentral:ncRNA from 2 species